rnacentral:rRNA from 14 species
GUCUACGGCCAUACCACCCUGAACGCGACCGAUCUCAUCUGAUCUCGGAAGCUAAGUUAGUACUUGGAUGGGAGAAAGUUAUAUAAAAUUCCUUUGAUUAUUCAUGUUUGUUCACAUUGUAUACU